GAUGAAGGUGAUGACGACAAGGAGGUGGCCGAGAUAGGGGAGGAGGCAUUCACCGCCGCUUCCCGCCCACACGCGCGGUCGACAAACUACACCGAGGCGGAAGAUAUCCUCUUGGUUCGUGCUUGGGAAGCUGUGGGAAUGGAUGCAACCACCGGCACCGAUCAAACCGGUAAACGGUAUUGGCAAAGGAUCGAGGACACCUAUUGUAGGAUCAAGCCUAAGAAUAGUGGGUUCAUCUCUCGCACUUACCGGUCGCUUCAAGGCCGGUGGGAGUUGAUGAAGCCCGCUUGUGCUCGUUGGAGUGCGGCCAUGGACCAAGUGAGGGAUGCACCACCUAGUCGAACCGUGGAGAGUGACUAUGAGACAAUUGCCGGCAUGAGGUACAAGAAGAUGGCCGCUUCCAAGGGCAAGACAUUCCCAUUUAAGCAUGCUUGGACAAUUCUUCAAACCUUUGGCAAGUGGAAGUUGAGGGAUCAAGAGACCGCACCCAAGAAGUUGGCAAUGCUUAGGAUGGAUGAUAGUGAAGAUGAGGAGGAGAGGAACUUGGGCAAGCCCGAGGGAACCAAGAAGGGCAAGCUAAGGGUGAAGAUGGAAGAAGAGGCGUCAAGCCUAAGGGAGAAGAUGGACCACAUGAUGAAGGCAAGAGAGGAAUUGACAACGAAGACAUUGGAGACGAAGCUUGUUAUCACCAAGAAGAAGAAAGAGGUCAAGCUUGCACAAGUUGAAGCAAAGCGUGAAGAAGCAAGGCGCAAGGCCGAGUUGGAGGAGAGGAUGAUCAAGAUCAGAGACAAAGGUAUGUAA
rnacentral:rRNA from 1 species